GAUGAACGCUGGCGGCGUGCCUAAUACAUGCAAGUCGAGCGAACGGACGAGAAGCUUGCUUCUCUGAUGUUAGCGGCGGACGGGUGAGUAACACGUGGAUAACCUACCUAUAAGACUGGGAUAACUUCGGGAAACCGGAGCUAAUACCGGAUAAUAUUUUGAACCGCAUGGUUCAAAAGUGAAAGACGGUCUUGCUGUCACUUAUAGAUGGAUCCGCGCUGCAUUAGCUAGUUGGUAAGGUAACGGCUUACCAAGGCAACGAUGCAUAGCCGACCUGAGAGGGUGAUCGGCCACACUGGAACUGAGACACGGUCCAGACUCCUACGGGAGGCAGCAGUAGGGAAUCUUCCGCAAUGGGCGAAAGCCUGACGGAGCAACGCCGCGUGAGUGAUGAAGGUCUUCGGAUCGUAAAACUCUGUUAUUAGGGAAGAACAUAUGUGUAAGUAACUGUGCACAUCUUGACGGUACCUAAUCAGAAAGCCACGGCUAACUACGUGCCAGCAGCCGCGGUAAUACGUAGGUGGCAAGCGUUAUCCGGAAUUAUUGGGCGUAAAGCGCGCGUAGGCGGUUUUUUAAGUCUGAUGUGAAAGCCCACGGCUCAACCGUGGAGGGUCAUUGGAAACUGGAAAACUUGAGUGCAGAAGAGGAAAGUGGAAUUCCAUGUGUAGCGGUGAAAUGCGCAGAGAUAUGGAGGAACACCAGUGGCGAAGGCGACUUUCUGGUCUGUAACUGACGCUGAUGUGCGAAAGCGUGGGGAUCAAACAGGAUUAGAUACCCUGGUAGUCCACGCCGUAAACGAUGAGUGCUAAGUGUUAGGGGGUUUCCGCCCCUUAGUGCUGCAGCUAACGCAUUAAGCACUCCGCCUGGGGAGUACGACCGCAAGGUUGAAACUCAAAGGAAUUGACGGGGACCCGCACAAGCGGUGGAGCAUGUGGUUUAAUUCGAAGCAACGCGAAGAACCUUACCAAAUCUUGACAUCCUUUGACAACUCUAGAGAUAGAGCUUUCCCCUUCGGGGGACAAAGUGACAGGUGGUGCAUGGUUGUCGUCAGCUCGUGUCGUGAGAUGUUGGGUUAAGUCCCGCAACGAGCGCAACCCUUAAGCUUAGUUGCCAUCAUUAAGCUGGGCACUCUAAGUUGACUGCCGGUGACAAACCGGAGGAAGGUGGGGAUGACGUCAAAUCAUCAUGCCCCUUAUGAUUUGGGCUACACACGUGCUACAAUGGACAAUACAAAGGGCAGCGAAACCGUGAGGUCAAGCAAAUCCCAUAAAGUUGUUCUCAGUUCGGAUUGUAGUCUGCAACUCGACUACAUGAAGCUGGAAUCGCUAGUAAUCGUAGAUCAGCAUGCUACGGUGAAUACGUUCCCGGGUCU
rnacentral:rRNA from 1 species